rfam:Neurospora crassa OR74A unplaced genomic scaffold supercont12.8, whole genome shotgun sequence.
UACUUAAUUAAUUUUGUUAAUAGUUAUAUAUUUAUUUUAAAGAUUAAAUUAUAUAUAUUUAAAUUUAAGUAAUUAAACUGUAAAAUUAUAAAUAGUUUAUUAAAUUAGUUAUAGUUUAUUUAAUAGUACCUUACUAUAUAAAUAACUGUAGUAAUUCUAGAAUUAAUAUAUGUUAAAAACCUUGAUUUCGGAAGGGGUAUAUUUAUUAGAUUAAAAACUAAUACCCUUCGAAGUUAAUUAGUAAUUUAUAAUAACUUUUCGAAUUAUAUAACUUUAUAUUAGCGAUAGUUUAUUUAAAUUUCUACCCUAUUAAUUUUCAACGGUUAGGUUUUAGUUAAUUAUAGUAAUAAUAGGUAACGGAGGGUUAGGGCUCAACCCUGGAGAAGGAGUUUAAGAAAUAGCUAUUAUAUUUAAGGAAGGUAGUAGGCGUAUAAAUUACCCAAUUUUAAUAUAGGGAGGUAGUAAUAAUAAAUAUUAAUAUAGGGCUCUUUUAGGUCUUGUAAUUAGAAUAAGUAUAAUUUAAAUCCCUUAACGAAGAAUAAUUAGAGGGUAAGUUUAGUAUUAGUAACUAUAGUAAUUCCAAUUCUAAUAGCGUAUAUUAAAAUUAUUAAAGUUAAAAAGCUCGUAAUUAAACCUUGGGCUCGGCCCGUCGGUCCGCUUUACUGCAUAUACUAAUUAGGUCGGGCCUUUUUUCCUAGAGAACCGUAUACCCUUUACUAAGUGUAUUGGGGAAUUAGGAUUUUUAUUAUAAAUAAAUUAGAUUGUUUAAAGAAGGCCUAUAUUCGAAUAUAUUAGUAUAGAAUAAUAGAAUAGAAUGUAUAGUUCUAUUUUAUUAAUUUUUAGGACUAUUGUAAUAAUUAAUAAGAAUAGUCGGGGGUAUUAAUAUUUAAUUAUUAGAGGUAAAAUUCUUAAAUUUAUUAAAGAUUAACUAUUAUAAAAGUAUUUACUAAGGAUAUUUUUAUUAAUUAGGAACGAAAGUUAGGGGAUUGAAGAUAAUUAGAUAUUAUUAUAGUUUUAAUUAUAAAUUAUACCGAUUAAGGAUCGGACGGUGUUAUUUUUUGACCCGUUUAACACUUUACAAUAAAUUAAAAUAUUUAGGCUCUUAAGGGAAUAUAAUUAUAAGGCUAAAAUUUAAAGAAAUUAAUAGAAGGGUACUACUAGGGGUAGAGCCUACAAUUUAAUUUAAUUUAAUACAGAGAAAUUUACUAAAUUUAAAUAUAAUAAGGAUUAAUAAAUUGAGAGCUCUUUCUUAAUUUCGUAGGUAGUAGUAUAUAGCUGUUCUUAAUUAAUAAAGUGAUUUAUUUAUUUAAUUACAAUAACGAACGAGACUUUAAUUUACUAAAUAGCCUAUAUUAUUUUAGUAGUACACUAGUUUUUUAAAGGGAUUAUCGGUUUAAAUUAAUAGAAGUUUAAAGUAAUAAUAGGUUUAUAAUACCCUUAAAUAUUCUAGGCCGUACGUACGCUAUAUUAAUAUAAUUAGCGAGUACUCCCUUAGCCGGAAGGUCCGGGUAAUUUUAUUAAAUUGUAUUAUAUUAGAAAUAGAGUAUUAUAAUUAUUAUUUUUCAAUGAAGAAUCUUUAGUAAAUAUAAAUUAUUAGUUUACGUUAAUUAUAUCCCUACCCUUUAUAUAUACCGCCCGUCGCUAUUAUUAAUUAAAUAGUUUAGUAAGGCUUCUAAAUUAGCCUAGGAAGGUCGGUAACGACUACUUAAGGCCGGAAAGUUAUUUAAAUUCGGUUAUUUAAAAGAAGUAAAAGUUGUAAUAAAAUCUCCGUUAAUAAAUUAGUAGAAGGAUUAUUA